rnacentral:rRNA from 1 species
AUGGAAUCCGCAUCGAAGAUCGCGUGCUACUGCCUCGGCGACGACGUCCCAAUGAUCUCCGACGACGACGACGUGGACUAUGAGGCCGUCACCGCAAGGACCAAAGCCGCCUUGGAAAAGGCCCUCCUCGCCCGCCUCGCAACCGAGCGGCCCGGCGCGGACAUCCAACCGCACAAGCGUGCCCGCCCGCUCUUCAUCAGGUACGUCCCAGCGCCGGAGUCCACGGCGUCCAACCCGGGCGCGGCGGAGAGGAUCAUCAGGUUAUCGGAGAUCUCAACCGACCCGUUGGAUCCGCCCAUGAUAAAGUUCAGACGGCUGCCCCGGCCGUCCCGGCCGCCGCCGGUGCCGGUACGGAGUUCGCCUCCUCGGCCGCCCUCGCAGAAGGACCAAGCCGACUGGAAGAUCCCGCCCUGCGUCUCCGACUGGAAGAACCCCAAGGGGUACUCGAUCCCGCUCGACAAGCGGCAGUUGGCGUCGUCGGAUGGCCGGGGGACGCGGGGCGAUCAGGUAGCAAGCAACUUCGCCAUGCUCGCGGAGGCGCUGUACGUCGCGGAGAAGAAGGCCAGGGAGGCCGUCUUGAUGCGGAAGAAGAUGCAGCAGGAGCUGCAGAUGAAGGAGAAGGAGCGGCGGGAGAAGCAGCUGCGACGGCUCGCCAGGGUGGCGCGCGCGAACAGAGCCGACGCUGAAGCUUCUCCGGCGGCCCCUGUCCGGGAGGAGCCGCGCGACCUGCACUCCAAAGCAAAGCAAGGCGGCUCUGACAUGCACGGCAAUGCCGAUAAGCAGCGGCUUGCCAAGACGGGAAGGUCCAAACCCGACAAGGGGCUCUCCGGCGGAGCACCGAAGGUCAGGGCGGGUGUCAAGCGGGAGAGGCCGGUCGGGCAUGAUGAGCCGGAGAAGGGCGGCGACCCCUUCGACCUCGACCAGUUCAUGUCUCAGGUGAAGAAGGGGAAGGAGCACUGA